UACGUAGGGGGCUAGCGUUGUCCGGAUUUAUUGGGCGUAAAGAGCGUGUAGGCGGCCAGGUAAGUCUGCUGUGAAAACUCGAGGCUCAACCUCGAGACGUCGGCGGAAACCAUCUGGCUAGAGUCCGGAAGAGGAGAGUGGAAUUCCCGGUGUAGCAGUGAAAUGCGUAGAUAUCGGGAGGAAUACCGAUGGCGAAGGCAGGUCUCUGGGCUGACACUGACGCUCAUGCACGAAGGCGUGGGGAGCAAACAGG
rnacentral:rRNA from 1 species